rnacentral:rRNA from 1 species
UACGAGGGGGGCAAGCGUUGUUCGGAAUCACUGGGCGUAAAGGGUGCGUAGGCGGGGCUUUAAGUCAGGGGUGAAAUCCUGGAGCUCAACUCCAGAACUGCCUUUGAUACUGAAGAUCUUGAGUUCGGGAGAGGUGAGUGGAACUGCGAGUGUAGAGGUGAAAUUCGUAGAUAUUCGCAAGAACACCAGUGGCGAAGGCGGCUCACUGGCCCGAUACUGACGCUGAGGCACGAAAGCGUGGGGAGCAAACAGG